UACCAGCACCCCGAGUGGUCGGGACGUUUAUUGGGCCUAAAGCAUCCGUAGCCGGUUCUACAAGUCUUCCGUUAAAUCCAACUGCUUAACAGGUGGGCUGCGGAAGAUACUAUGGAGCUAGGAGGCGGGAGAGGCAAGCGGUACUCGAUGGGUAGGGGUAAAAUCCUUUGAUCCAUUGAAGACCACCAGUGGCGAAGGCGGCUUGCCAGAACGCGCUCGACGGUGAGGGAUGAAAGCUGGGGGAGCAAACCGG
rnacentral:rRNA from 1 species